CUCAGAUCAGACGAGACUACCCGCUGAACUUAAGCAUAUCAGUAAGCGGAGGAAAAGAAACUAACAAGGAUUCCCUCAGUAACGACGAGUGAAGCGGGAAGAGCCCAGCACCGAAUCCCCUGGUUCUGCNCCGGCGGGAACUGUGGUGUGUAGCGNAACCCGUUCGGCAUCGACGCACUCCANUGCCCAAGUCCUCCUGAUCGGGGCUCCCAGAGCGGGUGUCAGGCCUUUNGCGGCACGGGACGAGACGUCUUGCGGCGUCCUCGGAGUCGGGUUGUUUGGGAAUGCAGCCCAAAGUNG
rnacentral:rRNA from 1 species